rfam:Stegodyphus mimosarum contig41985, whole genome shotgun sequence.
GCCUUCGUGGUGUAGUGAUCAGCCCUCUCGACGCCUAUUCGAGAGGUCGGUGGUUCGAAUCCCGGUGAGGGCA